rnacentral:rRNA from 1 species
GACGUAGGGGGCCAGCGUUGCUCGGAAUUACUGGGCGUAAAGGGUUCGUAGGCGGUGCGGCAAGUUGGGAGUGAAAUCCCCGGGCUUAACCCAGAGGCUGCUUCCAAAACUGCCGUGCUAGAGUGCGAGAGAGGCCAGUGGAAUUGCAGGUGUAGCGGUGAAAUGCGUAGAUAUCUGCAGGAACACCCGUGGCGAAAGCGGCGCGCUGGACCACAACUGACGCUGAGGAACGAAAGCUAGGGAAGCAAACAGG